AUGUCUAAGUACAAAGACUAGUUACUCUAAAACCGCGGAAGGCUCAUUAUAACNGUUNCGAUUUGAGAGAAANAAUCUUUUUGCCACAANANAACUGNNGUAAUUCUAGAGCUAAUAUUUGNUNGAGAAUGCGGUGACUUCGGAAGCGGCGGAUUUAUUAGUAUCAAAAUCAACCUGCUGGAAACAGUGGUUAAUUGAUGACUCUGGAUAACUUUACUGAUCGUACGACCUUUGUGUUGACGACGUAUCUCUUGAAGUGACUGACCUAUCAACUUUCGAUGGUAAGAUCAAAGCUUACCAUGGUUAUAACGGGUAACGGGGAAUCAGUGUUCGAUUCCGGAGAGGGAGCCUGAGAAACGGCUACCACAUCCACGGAAGGCAGCAGGCGCGUAAAUUACCCAAUACCGGCUCGGUGAGGUAGUGACGAAAAAUAACAAUAUGGGCCCUAGUGGUUUCAUAAUUGCAAUGAGAACAUUUUAAAUACUUUAUCAAGUAUCAAUUGGAGGGCAAGUCUGGUGCCAGCAGCCGCGGUAAUUCCAGCUCCAAUAGCGUAUAUUAAAGUUGUUGCAGUUAAAAAGCUCGUAGUUGAAAUUGGGGAUACGAAAUGUUAGAUAUCUAUGAUUGAUAACGUUUCAGUCCUUCACCGUCGCGUAUAUUAUUGAGGUGCUUUAUUGGAUCUUAAUAGUAACCGACAAGUUUACUUUGAAAAAAUUAGAGUGCUUAAAGCAGGCNUUUGCUUGUAUAUUGUUGCAUGGAAUAAUGGAAUAGGACUUCGGUUUUAUUUUGUUGGUUUUCUAAACCGUAGUAAUGAUUAAAAGAGACUGCCGGGGGCAUAUGUAUGCUGGUAUAAGAGGUGAAAUUCUUAGAUUAUCAGCAGACAAACUACUGCGAAAGCAUUUGCCAAGAAUGUUUUCAUUAAUCAAGAACGAAAGUCAGAGGAUCGAAGACGAUCAGAUACCGUCCUAGUUCUGACCAUAAACUAUGCCAACUGACAGUUAGCUAUGGUAAUAUAUUUAUCCUUGCUAGAAGUCACCGGGAAACCUAAGUCUAUGGGUUCCGGGGGAAGUAUGGUUGCAAAGCUGAAACUUAAAGGAAUUGACGGAAGGGCACCACCAGGAGUGGAGCCUGCGGCUUAAUUUGACUCAACACGGGGAAUCUCACCCGGUCCGGACACUGUGAGGAUUGACAGAUUGAUAGCUCUUUCAUGAUUUGGUGGGUGGUGGUGCAUGGCCGUUCUUAGUUGGUGGAGCGAUUUGUCUGGUUAAUUCCGAUAACGAACGAGACUCUAACCUGCUAACUAGUAUAUUUGUGUUAUAAAAGCAAAUAUGACUUCUUAGAGGAAUAAUAGUGUUUAACUAAAUGAAAUUGAGCAAUAACAGGNCUGUGAUGCCCNUAGAUGUCCGGGGNCGCACNCGGGCUACAAUGGCAGNAACAGCCAGUAUUUUUCCNGGNUANAAAUGGNUGGGUAACCNGCUGAAANACUGUCGUAUUCGNAANANAGGNUUGAAAUUUUNCCNCUUGAACGANGAAUUNCUAGUAAANGCAAGUCAUCUACUUGCGCUGAUUACGUCCCUGCCCUUUGUACACACCGCCCGUCGCUACUACCGAUUGAAUGGUUUAGNGAGAUNGCUGGAAUCNGAAAUNAAAAANGNCAACCUUUUCUNUGANUGGGAAAANANACUUCNACUUGNUCAUUUANAGGAAAUAAAAAUCCUAACANAAGGUNU
rnacentral:rRNA from 1 species